UUGGGAAUUUUUUUGGCUUGCUGCUUUCCAGUGGUAAUUUCCUCAUCCUUGUGAAGAUUCUUUCCAUGUGACCACAGAUCUGUACUCAGUAAUGAUUCAAGGGGAAUAUUCGGCACUUCAAUGGAUGAGUUAACUACUACAGAGCAGGACUCUCCCUCUUUUCUGCUUCCUCCACUUCAGUAUUUUGCUGCUUAAAUUCUAAGCUACUCAGCCUCUCUGAACUCAAAGUUUUGUCUCCUCAACUCAGUUUUUAGCUGAGACCUCCCUGUGAUUAAAGAAAUUAACAAGAGAAGAACAAAGAAAAAUUGAAUAACAUGUAUAUCUCCUGUAUACAUGGGAGAUACCCAGGAAAACUGAGUAAUUCUCCCAAAUGGUCCAAGUCAUCACCUUAAAUACCAUCUUCAACUAAAGACAAAAGAAGAUAUUGUGGAUGGGGAGUCAGUCUGGGGAGCUUUCCAUGUAAAGCAGA